rnacentral:rRNA from 1 species
UACGGAGGGGACUAGCGUUGUUCGGAAUUACUGGGCGUAAAGCGCACGUAGGCGGACUGGAAAGUUGGGGGUGAAAUCCCGGGGCUCAACCCCGGGAACUGCCUCCAAAACUUCCAAUCUAGAGAUCGAGAGAGGUAAGUGGAAUUCCUAGUGUAGAGGUGAAAUUCGUAGAUAUUAGGAGGAACACCAGUGGCGAAGGCGGCUUACUGGCUCGAUACUGACGCUGAGGUGCGAAAGCGUGGGGAGCAAA